ACUAAGAUGGCAGAUUUAAGUGCGAUAAUUUUAAGAGUUAUAUAUAAAUAAUUUUUCUUAGUA
rnacentral:tRNA from 1 species